rnacentral:rRNA from 1 species
GACGAACGCUGGCGGCGUGCUUAACACAUGCAAGUCGAACGGUAAGGCCCUUCGGGGUGCACGAGUGGCGAACGGGUGAGUAACACGUGGGUGAUCUGCCCUGCACUUCGGGAUAAGCCUGGGAAACUGGGUCUAAUACCGGAUAGGACCACUGCCUGCAUGGGUGGUGGUGGAAAGCUUUUGCGGUGUGGGAUGGGCCCGCGGCCUAUCAGCUUGUUGGUGGGGUGAUGGCCUACCAAGGCUACGACGGGUAGCCGGCGUGAGAGGGUGGCCGGCGACACUGGGACUGCGCUACGGCCCAGACUCCUACGGGCGGCAGCAGUGGGGAAUAUUGCACAAUGGGCGCAGGCCUGAUGCAGCGCCGCCGCGUGAGGGAUGACGGCCUUCGGGUUGUAAACCUCUUUCAGCACCGACGAAGCGCAAGUGACGGUAGGUGCAGAAGAAGGACCGGCCAACUACGUGCCAGCAGCCGCCGUAA